CUUCUUCGGUUAUUCCCAAAAAAUCCGAACCAACCCGGCCGUCUCGCACGGGCGGCAACACUGAUAUAGGCGAUGACACCGUCGCUAAGCUAAGCCGGGCAUCUUUACCCUCCCAUCGCCAUAACCAACUUGUUAAUCUAAACUCUGAGAAUUCAGCACAAGAAAAUAACGCCCCAGGCGCCGAUUGCAUCCCAUUACCUUUGUUUAACCCUUAUUUUUUUUUUAUGGUGUCAGUCAAUGGUCGCCCUAGGUGCCGUGUGAAACCAAAUAUCCAACGAGACAAUCGCCGAACCCCGCCGAGCUCCACCCCGCCACCCCUCGAGUCCACCUCUGUACAAGUAAGAAUCAUCACUCUCUCUCGCUCGGAGGAGAGUGGCGAGGGUUUUGUGAUUAGACCGAUUCGUUACCUUGGUGCCAGGAGAUGCAAGGGUCGGCGGCCGAGCAGAAGGACUUACCGGGAUGGCCGCCGGCGGUGGAGGCGCGGGGGCAGAGCCGGCGGCUGCCGGACUUCUUGCAGAGCGUAAAUCUCAAAUACGUCAAGCUAGGUUACCACUAUCUAAUCACGCAUCUGCUUACGCUGCUCGUGAUUCCGGUUAUGGUGGUGAUCCUUGUCGAGGCCUGCCGAACCGAUCCCAACGAUCUCUGGCAGUUGUGGAUCCACCUCCAGUUCAAUCUUGUGAGCAUUCUCGUUUGCUCCGCCGUCCUAGUCUUUGGCACCACCGUCUACGUUAUGACGCGGCCCAGGACGGUCUAUCUCGUCGAUUACGCUUGCUACCGCCCACCCGACCACCUCCAGGUCCGCUACACGCAGUUCAUGGAGCACUCUCGCCUCUGCGGUAACUUCAACGAGUCAGCCCUGGAGUUUCAGCGCAAGAUCCUUGAGCGAUCCGGCCUAGGUGAGGAGACCUAUGUGCCCGAUGCCAUGCACUAUCUUCCCCCGCGCCCAUCCAUGGCCGCCGCUCGCGACGAAGCCGAGCAGGUUAUGUUUGGCUCCCUCGACAAGCUUUUCCGCAACACUGGUGUCAAGCCCAAGGAUGUUGGAAUCCUUGUCGUCAACUGCAGCCUCUUUAACCCUACCCCAUCACUCUCUGCUAUGAUCGUUAAUCGCUACAAGCUACGCGGCAAUAUCCUCAGCUUCAACCUCGGGGGCAUGGGUUGCAGCGCUGGCGUCAUCGCCAUUGAUCUUGCCCGCGACCUCCUCCAGGUCCACCGCAACACCUAUGCCGUCGUCGUCAGCACCGAGAACAUCACCCAAAACUGGUAUUUUGGCAACCGAAAAUCUAUGCUCAUCCCCAACUGUCUUUUCCGCGUCGGAGGCGCCGCCAUCCUGCUCUCCAAUCGCUCCGCCGACCGCCGCCGUGCCAAGUACCGUCUCAUCCAUGUCGUGCGCACCCAUCGCGGCGCAGAUGACAAGGCCUUCCGGUGCGUGUAUCAGGAGCAAGAUGACGAUGGAAAAGUCGGGGUUUCUCUCUCCAAGGACCUCAUGGCGAUAGCUGGGGGUGCCCUUAAGACCAACAUCACCACCCUUGGCCCUCUGGUUCUCCCCAUCAGCGAGCAGCUGCUAUUUUUUGCCGCCCUAGUAGCCAAGAAGCUGUUCAACUCCAAGGUCAAGCCUUAUAUCCCUGAUUUCAAACUUGCCUUUGAACACUUCUGCAUCCACGCCGGAGGCCGGGCAGUUAUCGAUGAGCUAGAGAAGAAUCUUCAGCUCCGGCCAAUCCACGUUGAGGCAUCGAGGAUGACGCUUCAUCGAUUUGGGAACACUUCUUCCAGCUCUAUCUGGUACGAGCUAGCCUAUAUUGAGGCCAAGGGGAGGAUGCGGAGAGGCAACCGGGUUUGGCAAAUUGCUUUUGGCAGCGGAUUUAAGUGCAACAGUGCAGUUUGGCAGGCGCUCCGGAAUGUGAAGCAGUCCCCGGGGGGGCCUUGGGAGGAUUGCAUCGAUAGGUACCCUGUUCAGAUAAUUGACUGGAUUCCUGCUUCGCAGCACUAGCAAUAGCAAUAACACCACUCUCGCCAUAUUCUGUGGACAGCAAAACAGUAUAUUGUGCCUCAAUUCAGGAAGUUCUGCAAUAGGAUUCAGCAUUCCCGCAGCAGGGCCGCAGGUUUGGAGGGUUUGUGGAAGCUAAAUAACGGAUCAUGCAUCUAUUGAACAGACUGCAGCCGUUCCACCAACCCUGAUUUUUUGGUUGCUUUCUACCUCUAUCCAUGGCUCUUGAUCCUCUGAUCGCUUAUUGUUUCCAACCACAACUUCUGAUGAUUUGACUGCUUACCGUUGCUGCCUAGGACUCCUGAUCUUUAGCUGCUUAAUCUUGGUAACCAUGGGAUCCACUGUUUUUCUAUUAUGCUGUGGAUUUAUAGGCUGCAGCUGUUUCUGCCUCUUACUGCACUGUAGCAUGGAGAGAUUGUUAGUAAUUCUACGUUUUAGCUACAAUUUAAGUAUUGGAGGUUGUUUUUUUUUUUUUUUGUAAAUUAAAUAAAAGUUUGAGGCAUAUCUAGAAUUCAUUGGUUGUUAAAUAAAAUUUAUAGUUGGAUGUCUAAUUCUUUCUUUUGGGAGUUUUGCUUUAUUGGUUGUAA